rnacentral:rRNA from 1 species
UUCGGGGUACACGAGUGGCGAACGGGUGAGUAACACGUGGGUGAUCUGCCCUGCACUUCGGGAUAAGCCCGGGAAACUGGGUCUAAUACCGGAUAGUACUGCGCGGUGCAUGCCGUGUGGUGGAAAGAUUUAUCGGUGCAGGAUGGGCCCGCGGCCUAUCAGCUUGUUGGUGGGGUAAUGGCCUACCAAGGCGACGACGGGUAGCCGGCCUGAGAGGGCGACCGGCCACACUGGGACUGAGACACGGCCCAGACUCCUACGGGAGGCAGCAGUGGGGAAUAUUGCACAAUGGGCGCAAGCCUGAUGCAGCGACGCCGCGUGAGGGAUGACGGCCUUCGGGUUGUAAACCUCUUUCAGCAGGGACGAAGCGCAAGUGACGGUACCUGCAGAAGAAGCACCGGCCAACUACGUGCCAGCAGCCGG